CCUGAACGGGCCAAGGCCAUAAUUGGCCGAUAAUCGAGGGCGAAGGAAAGUUCUCGUUGGAUGAGUGCCCCAAAGGCCUGGAUGAUGAUUAAUCGAGCAAUUCCACCUUAUGCAGUCCGGCAGUAAACCAUUUUACGAUGGCCUGUUCGAUCAAUUGAAAGCGGCUCUUGCUUGGACUGUCCACAAUCGAAGCAGUACAGUACAGAUGAGCAGGACGAGAGCUGAGGC
rnacentral:lncRNA from 1 species